rnacentral:lncRNA from 1 species
AAAAAUAAAUCCAUCGUCACUGCACAACUUUCCCAACUUCACCAUUUUUAUCUUCUCCACAAAGCACAAAACACACUCCUCCACAUCCAUACACAAAUUGCAAGAUAGGUAGUAAGAGAAAAUAGAAAGAAAAAAAAUAAGAGAUCAACACUAUCAUUAAACACCAUGAAUGCAACAAAAUUAUCACUAUAACCCAUCAUCACUACCCUCAUUUCCACCCCUGAUUUCAACCUCACUAAACAACCCAGCAGAAAAUCUUCAUUACCCCAACAAAACCAACAACAACGAUCCAAGAUUAGUUCCGACGGGGAACAAGAUUCGGGCGAUUCACAAAUGGGUCACGUCUCGUACUUUCAGUAAAUACUAUUAUUUUAUGGCAGAUAUGGUUUCAUUUAUAUCAUUUUGGAAUCAGAUUUCAAUUUUUAUUGCAUUUCAAUCAUCACUGUCUAAUUACCUCUUCAAAAAUCAUAAUUUUGGAUCAUCAAAAAUCAUCAUCCUUAAAUCACUGCAAAUUUGAAAAAGAAGGAUCAAAUAUUCUUAUUCAACACAAUAUUUUCUAAUAAAAAAAAAGAAGAAGAAAUAAAGAAUUAAGAAGAAAGAAAGGAAAAAGGGGAAGAGAGAAAGGAAUAAGAGAACGGGAGAAUUAAGAAGAAAUAAAGAACAGACGGGUAGAGAGAGAAAUAAAAGAAGGGUGG